UGAGCAGGCUGAGCGGCCGCGUUGCGUAUAUAGCCGAAAGACUGCGCGAUGAGGAAAGUCCGGGCUCCAGAGGGCAAGGAUAACGGGUAACACCCGCCGAAGGCGACUUCAGGAAAAGUGCAACAGAGAUAUACCGCUGUCUUUAAGGCAGUAAGGGUGGAAAGGUGAGGUAAGAGCUCACCGAUCUUCCGGGAGACCGGGGGAUCCUGCAAACUCUAUCCGGAGCAACACCGCUGUGAGGACGAGAGCGCAAGCUCUCGCGUCUGCCCGACGCAGCGCCUCCGAGGUGGCUUGAGACGUGUGGCAACACACGUCCCAGACAGAUGGCCGCUGUUCACAGAACCCGGCUUACAGGCUUGCUCACAUA
rnacentral:RNase_P_RNA from 1 species